UAAGGAAUAUUGGUCAAUGGGCGGAAGCCUGAACCAGCCAUGCCGCGUGCAGGAAGACGGCCCUACGGGUUGUAAACUGCUUUUAUACCGGAAUAAACCUACCUAUGUAUAGGUAGCUGAAUGUACGGUAAGAAUAAGGAUCGGCUAACUCCGUGCCAGCAGCCGCGGUAAUACGGAGGAUCCGAGCGUUAUCCGGAUUUAUUGGGUUUAAAGGGUGCGUAGGCGGCUUUUUAAGUCAGGGGUGAAAGACGGUAGCUUAACUAUCGCAGUGCCUUUGAUACUGAAGAGCUUGAAUAUACUUGAGGUAGGCGGAAUGUGACAAGUAGCGGUGAAAUGCAUAGAUAUGUCACAGAACACCAAUUGCGAAGGCAGCUUACUAAAGUAAGAUUGACGCUGAGGCACGAAAGCGUGGGGAUCAAACA
rnacentral:rRNA from 1 species